rnacentral:rRNA from 1 species
GUGGGGAAUAUUGGACAAUGGGCGCAAGCCUGAUCCAGCCAUGCCGCGUGAGUGAUGAAGGCCCUAGGGUUGUAAAGCUCUUUCACCGGUGAAGAUAAUGACGGUAACCGGAGAAGAAGCCCCGGCUAACUUCGUGCCAGCAGCCGCGGUAAUACGAAGGGGGCUAGCGUUGUUCGGAAUUACUGGGCGUAAAGCGCACGUAGGCGGGUAUUUAAGUCAGGGGUGAAAUCCCAGAGCUCAACUCUGGAACUGCCUUUGAUACUGGGUACCUAGAGUAUGGAAGAGGUAAGUGGAAUUCCGAGUGUAGAGGUGAAAUUCGUAGAUAUUCGGAGGAACACUAGUGGCGAAGGCGGCUUACUGGUCCAUUACUGACGCUGAGGUGCGAAAGCGUGGGGAGCAAACAGGAUUAGAAACUCUAGUAGUCC